GGAAGGGUGCUGGAGCGGCCGAACAGGCACGCCUGGAGAGCGUGUGAGGUCUUACGGCCUCCGAGGGUUCAAAUCCCUCCCCUUCCGCCA
rnacentral:tRNA from 1 species